ACGAACGCUGGCGGCGUGCUUAACACAUGCAAGUCGAACGGAAAGGCCCUGCUUUUGUGGGGUGCUCGAGUGGCGAACGGGUGAGUAACACGUGAGUAACCUGCCCUUGACUUUGGGAUAACUUCAGGAAACUGGGGCUAAUACCGGAUAGGAGCUCCUGCUGCAUGGUGGGGGUUGGAAAGUUUCGGCGGUUGGGGAUGGACUCGCGGCUUAUCAGCUUGUUGGUGGGGUAGUGGCUUACCAAGGCUUUGACGGGUAGCCGGCCUGAGAGGGUGACCGGCCACAUUGGGACUGAGAUACGGCCCAGACUCCUACGGGAGGCAGCAGUGGGGAAUAUUGCACAGUGGGCGGAAGCCUGAUGCAGCAACGCCGCGUGCGGGAUGACGGCCUUCGGGUUGUAAACCGCUUUCGCCUGUGACGAAGCGUGAGUGACGGUAAUGGGUAAAGAAGCACCGGCUAACUACGUG
rnacentral:rRNA from 1 species